AUCUCUCCCCUUUCAUUCGGGAUCAUUUCUAAAGUAUGUGACUAGAGAAGUUUCUCUGAUCGUGUAGAGCAGCCGAAGCCAUGAGGAGGAGCCAGGGCGUCCUCUCCUGAGCAUGAAGCUGGCUCUAGGUGUCGCUUCUGCGACUGCCUUUGGCCAUUGAUCGUUCUCCCUUUCCUCUGGAAAAGGUAGAGGGAGAGGCUGCAGUCUUGAGUGGU